UACGUAGGGUGCGAGCGUUGUCCGGAAUUACUGGGCGUAAAGAGCUCGUAGGUGGUUUGUCGCGUUGUCCGUGAAAACUCACAGCUCAACUGUGGGCGUGCGGGCGAUACGGGCAGACUGGAGUACUGCAGGGGAGACUGGAAUUCCUGGUGUAGCGGUGGAAUGCGCAGAUAUCAGGAGGAACACCGGUGGCGAAGGCGGCGACCUGGGUGGAUACUGACGCUGAGGCGCGAAAGCGUGGGGAGCAAACAGG
rnacentral:rRNA from 1 species